GACGGAGGAUGCAAGUGUUAUCCGGAAUCACUGGGCGUAAAGCGUCUGUAGGUGGUUUAAUAAGUCAACUGUUAAAUCUUGAGGCUCAACCUCAAAAUCGCAGUCGAAACUAUUAGGCUAGAGUAUAGUAGGGGUAAAGGGAAUUUCCAGUGGAGCGGUGGAAAUGCGUAGAGAUUGGAAAGAACACCGAUGGCGAAGGCACUUUACUGGGCUAUUACUAACACUCAGAGACGAAAGCUAGGGUAGCAAUGGG
rnacentral:rRNA from 1 species